rnacentral:rRNA from 1 species
UACGUAGGGAGCAAGCGUUGUCCGGAAUCAUUGGGCGUAAAGCGCGCGUAGGUGGCCAUUUAAGUCCGCUGUGAAAGUCAAAGGCUCAACCUUUGAAAGCCGGUGGAUACUGGAUGGCUAGAGUACGGAAGAGGCGAGUGGAAUUCCUGGUGUAGCGGUGGAAUGCGCAGAUAUCAGGAGGAACACCAAUAGCGAAGGCAGCUCGCUGGGACGUUACUGACGCUGAGACGCGAAAGCGUGGGGAGCAAACAGG